UAGAGUUUGAUCAUGGCUCAGGACGAACGCUGGCGGCGCGCUUAACACAUGCAAGUCGUGCGAUACCUUGAGCGAGUCUUACGACAAGUUCAAGAUAGAGCGGCGGACGGGUGAGUAACACGUGAGUAGCUGUCCUAAGGAGGGGGAUAACGCCUGGAAACGGGUGCUAAAACCCCAUAUGCCUCGCAAGAGGUGAAAGUGUAGCUUGCUACAGCCUUAGGGUGUGCUCGCGGCCUAUCAGCUAGUUGGUGAGGUAACGGCUCACCAAGGCUAAGACGGGUAGCCGGCCUGAGAGGGUGUACGGCCACACUGGAAUUGAGAUACGGUCCAGACUCCUACGGGAGGCAGCAGUGGGGAAUCUUGGGCAAUGGGCGAAAGCCUGACCCAGCGACGCCGCGUUGGGGAUGAAACCCUUUGGGGUGUAAACCCAUGUUGUAGGGGACGAAGAAAGUGACGGUACCCUACGGGGAAGCCCCGGCUAACUACGUGCCAGCCGCCGCGGUAAUACA
rnacentral:rRNA from 1 species